UACGUAGGGUGCAAGCGUUAAUCGGAAUUACUGGGCGUAAAGCGUGCGCAGGCGGUGAUGUAAGACAGAUGUGAAAUCCCCGGGCUCAACCUGGGAACUGCAUUUGUGACUGCAUCGCUGGAGUGCGGCAGAGGGGGGAUGGAAUUCCGCGUGUAGCAGUGAAAAUGCGUAGAUAUGCGGAGGAACACCGAUGGCGAAGGCAAUCCCCCUGGGGCCCUGCACUGACU
rnacentral:rRNA from 1 species